AUUGAACGCUGGCGGCAGGCCUAACACAUGCAAGUCGAGCGGAUGAAGGGAGCUUGCUCCUGGAUUCAGCGGCGGACGGGUGAGUAAUGCCUAGGAAUCUGCCUGGUAGUGGGGGAUAACGUCCGGAAACGGGCGCUAAUACCGCAUACGUCCUGAGGGAGAAAGUGGGGGAUCUUCGGACCUCACGCUAUCAGAUGAGCCUAGGUCGGAUUAGCUAGUUGGUGGGGUAAAGGCCUACCAAGGCGACGAUCCGUAACUGGUCUGAGAGGAUGAUCAGUCACACUGGAACUGAGACACGGUCCAGACUCCUACGGGAGGCAGCAGUGGGGAAUAUUGGACAAUGGGCGAAAGCCUGAUCCAGCCAGGCCGCGUGUGUGAAGAAGGUCUUCGGAUUGUAAAGCACUUUAAGUUGGGAGGAAGGGCAGUAAGUUAAUACCUUGCUGUUUGACGUUACCAACAGAAUAAGCACCGGCUAACUUCGUG
rnacentral:rRNA from 1 species